GGUUCCGUGGCGGCGUCACGUGACGCGGCGGGCGGGGGCGUGCUCGGGAGCAACCCCGGUGGCCGCGCGGAGGGUGGGAGCGCGCCCCCUGCUGGCUGGAGCCGGCUCCGCCUUGACCCGCCCGCUCCAGAUCGGGGGAUUGCUCUUCUGAGCACGGGAUUAGAUUAGCCGGGAGCUGUCCUCCAGAAAGACUACUUGACUGGGCGAAGGCUCCCGGUAUAUAUUUGUGAGUGAAUGCACAGACGUGUUAGUUAUUACCAUCCUGCUAAAAAUGCCGGGCCUGCUCAAGAAGUGAUUUUUUUUUUUUCACAUUUAGUUAUUUUCAUGUAUAUGAGUGCUCUAUCUGCACAUACGCCUGCGUGCCAAAAGAGGGCGUCAGAUCUCGUUAUAGAUGGUUGUGAGCCACCCUGUGGUUGCUGGAAAUUGAACUCUAGGCCUCUGGAAGGGCAGCCAGUGCUCUUAACCACUGGGCUAUCUCUCCAGCCCCAAGAAGUGAUUUUUAAAGGUGGAUUCCUUAAAACAUAUUCUACAGCAUCCUAUACUCUUUUCUCCGGAUUGUGUCGCUUCAGAUGACAAGUCUAUGGUUGAGGGAAGAGAAUAUAAAUUAUAUAGGGAUCUCACAGGUUAGCUGUUAUCUAAUGCAUUUGAAAGUUGUUUGUUUUUUUUUUGUUUGUUUGUUGUGACAGAUUCCCUAUGCAUCCCUGACUGUACUGGAAGUGGAUCUGUAUACCAAAUUGACCUUGAAUUCAGAGAACUGCCUGCUUCUGCCUUCCCAGUGCUGGGAUUAAAGGUGUGGACCAAAUUGACCUUGAAUUCAGAGAACUGCCUGCUUCUGCCUUCCCAGUGCUGGGAUUAAAGGUGUGGGCCAACACUGUCAAGCUGCAGAGACCUUGAGAGCACUUGGCUGCUCUUCCAGAGGACCUGGGUUUGAUUUCCAGCACCUGCAGGGGGCUCACAAGUAGUCCCGGACUUCAGGGAAUCUGCACAAACAUCCAUUUACCCCAAACAGCGUACUGACAAGAGACCAAAGAAAACUCCACCCAAGUCUAGCUCAGUUAGCUAUACGUUUCUUGGAGUUACUUACAGAAAUAUGGUUGACUCAAAGGUUGUUUCAUCACUGAAAAGCCCACCCCACCAGGGGUGAGGACUCAUAAAUGAUGUACCCUCAGUGCUUCCUACACAAUUUGCAAUUAGGUGAGAGAGUUUCCCUCGGCAAUAGUUACUGCUGUUACUGAAUCUAUAUCCUUUAAGAAGGGUAAGAAGGGCCUGAUACAUCUUGGGGAUUCAUAAAUAUAAUGUUCAUUAUACUGGCAACCUGUCGUGUCAUGUGAUAUUUAAGCUUGUUUCUUGUCUGAUGCGUCUAAAACAAAAAGGGGAAACUGUAGAGAGCUGCGGAAUGCUAUGCCUUAAAGAUGGAGCUGGUUUCCGCCAGCUCCUUCCCGAUGGUGAGUGCUCUCUGUCACGAACAACUCCACAUUUGGCUAAGGCCGAAGGAUCUGGCUUGCUUCCAUGUACGUGGACCUAUCUGCAUUGCCCACGUGGCACGCCUGGGUUGGCUACCCAGAGGCUAUUUAAGCUGUGGGCUGGCUUUCCCCAGGGUCCGAGGAUUGUUCAAGGUUCCUGAAUAAACUGCAUUGAAAAAAAAAAAAAAAAAAGAAACAAACUCUGGGAUCCUGAAGGCCUUCCCUAUUUCUUCCAAAACUAGCCCCCUAGCUGGAACAAGGAGAAAGGAAAAUAGCAAAUUCCUAAGACCAUUGGGGGGGAAUGUGUCUUUGAGAACAUAUAGAAAGUGGUCUUGGAGGAAAUUGAGCACUGUUUCAGAAGCUCAAGCCAGGCGCAGUGACAUACUCUCUCUGCUGCCUGCUGAGCCAGAUGUACAACUCGCAGCUCCUUCUCCAGCACCUUGUCUGCCUGGACACUGCCAUGCUUCCCACCAUGAUGAUAAUGGACUAAACCUCUGAACCUGUAAGCCAGCCCUAAUCAAGUGUUUUUCUUUGUAAGAAUUGCCAUGGCCUUGGUGUUUCUUCACAGCAGUAAAAAUCCUAAGAUAGGUGGGGAUAGGAAGCUGAACUUCAGCCAUGGGCAGCGCAUCCUUGGAGAGAAAGUUCAACCAGAAACUGCCUGCCUCAAUUUCCUCAGUAAACUUCUACUGGUUAUUUGUAAGCACUGGACUUCAGGAUGUUAUCUAUUUGCUAUUUGUUCUUUUACCUGGAAGCUUUUACUGUAGACAUUCAGCUGUGCCUAGGACUGUCAGGUGGGAACUCCAGAUGAUGGCUACUGGAACUUUCCCAGUUGGUACCUGUUGAAUGUUUGUGAGCCCUGGAUCUGAUGGAGUUACCUUUUUCUUAGGCGGGCUGCUCCAGUUGCUGGAUGUUACCUACUGCUUUCCACUUACUCUUUUACAUCUGUUUGCUGUAUAUUUAAUAAACUUGCUCAUUCAAAAUAGAAA